CACGUCUGCACCCAGCCCCGCGGUGACGUAGUUGGGGUGGACGAUGAUCCGGCUGACGUUCAGCAGACCCCGGCCCCCGUACAGAUACACGUCCCCGGCGUGGAUCCGGCCUGGGAAGAGCCAGGAGGCACCUGGAGAAACAGCCCAGGAGAGACCUGGAGGGAGGGCAAGAUGUCCCAGCCUCUUCCGCCAGGGCGAGCAGGCAGCGGCCCUCGGGUGAGAAGGAGAAUGGAGACGGCAAGGCUGACGUCCUCAUGCCCCCACCUCGGCUUGGAGCUCACUCCUGGGAAGGCCGCCACGGCACAGCGAGGGACACAGGGGCGGGACGAGGGCCAGCUCUUGAAACACCCUGUGUCCUACUUUCUGUGCUGACCACGGAGGUGCGGGCCCAUCCCUCACAGAUGGUCCUGGCUGCGGCUGUUGGGCAAUGGCACCUGGGAACACGAUACCUGUUUGUCCUGAUAGGGUCGGGACCAGACCACCAUGAGAGCGUUUGGUGAUAGGAUCAGAGGAAGGACUGGGGGCCGUGCAACCGUUAAGACUGGGGUCAGAGGCCCUGGCCAAUGAUAGGGUCAAGUUCAGGCCUGCGGCCAGGGCGCCCGAGCCCAGGGACAUCAUUAGGCAAAGGAUGUGGUUGCUUCAGGCCAGUGUUGCAAAAGGGUUGGGCUGAAGAAAAGACCAGGCAGAGGGUCCCAGCUCAGGGGCCCAGGGGCCUCAGAACAGAGUGUGCAGCGCCCGAGGUCACUGGGACCUGGGAGAUGAAGGGCUCAUGACCACGAUUCUUCCAUGUCCCACGGUCACUCAGCCUUUGUGUACAAAUGGAACCCUGGUGUCCAUCAGUCUGGCUUCCCUGGUGUGGAGUCAGCUCUCACAGACCUGCAACGCCCUGUACACCGGGUGCCCUCUGCUCACACUGGGCACCCCUUUGUGACGAGGCCGCUGAGCUGCACUUCCCGGGUUGGGAGACCGUUUCCCAAAGGCGUUUUAAUGGAGCCAUUUAGUUUGUGAUGAGCUUAAAACCCGCAUUGA